GGCCGCGGGAAUUGGAUUCAGGCCUAACACAUGCAAGUCGAACGAGGGUAGCAAUACCCUAGUGGCGGACGGGUGAGGAAUACGUAGGAAUCUGCCCUUAAGUGGGGGAUAACCCGGGGAAACCCGGAUUAAUACCGCAUGACCUCGAGAGAGCAAAGCAGGGGAUCGCAAGACCUUGCGCUUUUGGAGGAGCCUACGUCGGAUUAGCUAGUUGGUGAGGUAACGGCUCACCAAGGCAACGAUCCGUAACUGGUCUGAGAGGAUGAUCAGUCACACCGGAACUGAGACACGGUCCGGACUCCUACGGGAGGCAGCAGUGGGGAAUAUUAGACAAUGGGCGAAAGCCUGAUCCAGCAAGGCCGCGUGUGUGAAGAAGGCCUUCGGG
rnacentral:rRNA from 1 species